rnacentral:tRNA from 1 species
UGUCUAAUAGCUUAAUGGAGGAGCAAGUGGAGGUUUCACUGGACGUAGGUUCGAUUCCUGCUUAGACAGCCA